rnacentral:lncRNA from 1 species
UGGCUCCCUGAUCAAAUUCAAACCUCUGUUUUGGGAGACAGACAUGGGAAAAAUAUUUACCCCUUUCAUGUUGACACAUGGAUAUACAGGGCAAUUCUGUCAGAAUCUACACGAAGCCAGAGCUGCAUUUUAAGCCAGUAUCAGGGGCCACUGUUUUUGGGGUUGCUUAGGUGACCGUGUUUGGGGUCAGUUGCCUGAUAUAGAGGGAGUGCUAAACAGGGGCUUGUACAGAAGAUGACUUGGGGAGUUUGAGUCCACUUACCCUUCUCUACACUGUGAGAAGCAAUAACAUUCUUGUUAACCAGUAGUAUAUAACAUUAUCUCACUUAAUCCUUCCAGCAACAGCUCUCUUAAGUUAAAACUAAUAUUAGCCUUAUUGUACGGAUGGAGAAACUGAUACCAAGAGGAGGCUAGAAUAGUUGUGCAAGUCAGAGUCAGUGGGAAAACCAGAUUCAAGCUGAGCAACAAAACAGAAGAGACUCUGAUCUUGUAUAUCACUGGAGGAUUGAGGAAUUGGAGGAGCAUCUUCCAGGGAACGUCUCUGUUGACUGUGGACCAGAAUGCUCUUCAUCUGUCCUCCUGGCUAUCUCCUUCUCAACUGUCAUGUGUCCUCCCCAGGGUGGCCUUCUCUGAUCACUCAAGCCAAAGGAUAUCUCAGCAUCCUGUACGGUUUUUUCAAGGUCCCACCUGUUAACAGAAGCACAUUAGGCACACCUGAGUUUUGGAAGAGACACAUUCAAACCACAGCAGAGCACAAAAUCAGAUAGACCUGGGCUCAAAUUCUGAC